GACGUAGGGGACGAGCGUUGUCCGGAUUUAUUGGGCGUAAAGAGCUCGUAGGCGGUCUGUCGCGUCUGCUGUGAAAACUCGGGGCUUAACCCCGGGCCUGCAGUGGGUACGGGCAGACUAGAGUGCGGUAGGGGAGACUGGAAUUCCUGGUGUAGCGGUGAAAUGCGCAGAUAUCAGGAGGAACACCGGUGGCGAAGGCGGGUCUCUGGGCCGUAACUGACGCUGAGGAGCGAAAGCGUGGGGAGCGAACAGG
rnacentral:rRNA from 1 species